rnacentral:misc_RNA from 1 species
UUAAGUUCAGCGGGUAUCCCUACCUGAUCCGAGGUCAACCUGGAGUCGGCGUCUCCGCCGAUGUUUCACGGGCGCUCACCCCCGCAUCCCGAGCGAUUGAUGUGCCAUCACGCAGAGGAACGGGCGGCUUCCGCCGGUCACUUUGAGGCGCGCGGGGUCCGCGACGCCCAAUACCCAGCCGGGCUGGAUUGGUUGAAAUG